AGUUUCUUGGCUUAGUGGUUAAGUGCUACGGCUGCUAGCCAAAAGGUCGGCAGUUCAAAUCCGCCAGGCACUC
rnacentral:tRNA from 1 species